AUUCCAGGACUUCACCAGGUCUGCAGCACGCUGAUCCUGCCAACUGAUGAAGUUGUGGAAGGGAACUCCAGUUUUCCUGUCAGAGCAGAACAAAAAGGCAGGAUCACUAGAUGUUCAACAGAGGAUGUCCACCAGAUGAGUGGAGGAGGCUACCGAACCGGUUGGACCGUACCCUGCACCGCUCCUCUGAUCACCCAGACGAAGCCGUUCCACAAAGCCUCCGGGUCCAACUCCACAUGUCCCACCUCGGGAUACAAGGGAGCAACCUGGGGAACGUGCACCACAACACGAUCAGCCUCUGAGCAACGCUUUGUGCGUGCUGCGUGGAAGUACAGAAGUACCGAAGGGCGGCGAGCAGUACCUUGGUGGAGCAUGAUCCUCGCACGUUUGCCUCCUUGUCAUAGACGUGACAUCUGAUUGACGUGGUACCGACGUCCGCCGACAAAAUGAAGCUUUCUUUCUUGAACCCGUUUCUCUGGCUCCCCAUUAAAGAGAGGCUAGUGCCGGUUGUCUUCGAA